UUUGAUGGUAGUGUAUUGGACUACCAUGGCGCUCACGGGUAACGGAGAAUUAGGGUUCGAUUCCGGAGAAGGAGCCUGAGAAACGGCUACUACACCUACGGGUUGGCAGCAGGGACGUAAAUUACCCAAUCCUAAUUCAGGGAGGUAGUGACAAGAAAUAGCAAGUCGGGAGACAACGUCUUUACGACAUUGAAAUGAGAACAGUGUAAAUCUCUUAGCGAGGAACAAUUGGAGGGCAAGUCAGGUGCCAGCAGCCGCGGUAAUUCCUGCUCCAAUAGCGUAUAUUAAAGUUGUUGCAGUUAAAAAGCUCGUAGUUGAACUUCUGCCCGUUUUUAAAGGACUCGUCUUAUAAAAAUGGGCAUACGUUUACAAACUAAACUCGGCCUUCACUGGUUCGACUUAGGGAGUGAACAUUUUACUGUGAAAAAAUUAGAGUGUUUCAGGCAGGUUUUAGCCCGGAUACAUCAGCAUGGAAUAAUGGAAUAGGACUAAGCCCAUUUUAUUGGUUAUUGGAUUUGGUAAUGAUUAAUAGGGACAGUUGGGGGCAUUAGUAUUUAAUAGUCAGAGGUGAAAUUCUUGGAUUUAUUAAGGACUAACUAAUGCGAAAGCAUUUGCCAAAGAUGUUUUCAUUAAUCAAGAACGAAAGUUAGGGGAUCAAAGACGAUCAGAUACCGU
rnacentral:rRNA from 1 species